rnacentral:rRNA from 1 species
GACGAACGCUGGCGGCGCGCCUAACACAUGCAAGUCGAACGAGAGAUGAAGAGCUUGCUCUUCAAAUCGAGUGGCGAACGGGUGAGUAACGCGUGAGGAACCUGCCUCAAAGAGGGGGACAACAGUUGGAAACGACUGCUAAUACCGCAUAAGCCCACGGCUCGGCAUCGAGCAGAGGGAAAAGGAGCAAUCCGCUUUGAGAUGGCCUCGCGUCCGAUUAGCUAGUUGGUGAGGUAACGGCCCACCAAGGCGACGAUCGGUAGCCGGACUGAGAGGUUGAACGGCCACAUUGGGACUGAGACACGGCCCAGACUCCUACGGGAGGCAGCAGUGGGGAAUAUUGCACAAUGGGGGGAACCCUGAUGCAGCGACGCCGCGUGGAGGAAGAAGGUCUUCGGAUUGAAACUCCUGUUGUUGAGGAAGAUAAUGACGGUACUCAACAAGGAAGUGACGGCUAAACUACGUG